GGGAGGAAAUCUUUAAAACAAGUUCCCAAGCCUCCCUUCCGCGGAUGUGCAGAGUCACCGGUCCAAGGGAGGGGAGAGUUAGCCGAGAUCUCAAGUCAGGAAGGGUUUAGACAGCAGCAGCGUGGUAGUAAUGGUCUCACGUCCUCCCUGGAAAGGGAAACAGCUUCUCCUCUGUCUGUUCCCUCACCUCCAUGUGUGUAUUUUUGGAGCUAAAACUCAGGACAUCUGGUCCAAUAAGGAGGAUGAGCUCCUAGACGAUAGGAGACGCGAAAUCAGGGCUGCCCGGAACUGAGAGACAGAGUCACACUGCUAAUGGCUCCAGGGCUGAAGCUGGGCAAGAAGGAGGGGAUGAAGGAGGCAGUGAUCACAGACACCUUGCAAUAGCCGGGAGAGGCGGAGGUGGGCCAUCGAGAAGGCCAGAGCUCUGCCCUUGACCUCUCAAGGCCAGGCCCUGCGGCGUUCAUCUCUCGUAUCCCAGGAGCCUGAGGCUGGGUUGUGCCCACGUCCUUGGACACCAAGGGGCAGAAGGAACUGUACCCUGGCCAGCCAAGUACUUCCAGGGCCUCAUCCGUGCCCCUCUGCUCCAUCAGGUAAAAUGGAGCAACCCUCCCUCUGGCACUCUCUCCAGCCAGACCCCCUUCCAGCUCCGCCUCUGACCAGCUGCUCAACCUUGCACGUGUCUCUUUGCUUCUCUGAACCUCAGUUUUCUCGUCUGUAAAAUGAAGGACGGCCCGGAGAGUCCCCGAGGCCCUCUGCAGCUCCAGCCUCGGACUGCAGGGCUGCUGGCUCUCAGGUGGAGGCAAUUUCCCAGAUCACUGAGCCCCACCUGGCCACCAUCGUGUGAGGGCCUCCCCUGGGCACCGGCCGUCUGGAAGCACCGCCAUCCAUCUUUGUGAAUAUCUGGUUAAAACACUC